GCAAGCUGCAAAUUUCAUCUCCUUUGAAGCUCUGCCACCCUUAAAAUUACACUCUGAGCCUGAUUAUCACUAUGGAAGUCCUAUGGCUAAGGAGAUAUUGGUCACUAAACACUGCCAAGAUGACCUUCUGGCUUUCAGUGUGCCCUAAUUUGACAGUUGGCUGAUCAGAAUUUGUUACUUUCUUUUUGCAAGGCUUCCAAGACAGUUAACAAAUGCUAACAAAUUCCAAAGUCCUUUACCCCCAAAACAUUCUAGGGACAGAGAUACUGGAUAACCCAUUUCUUCUUGUUUCAUUCCAUCCCAGGUGAGAUUCCCAGGAACUGAGAUGCAGGCCAGGGAUUACCACCACCCUGCUUAUCCUAUCAGUGAGGAGUGUGUCCAUGCCUUGCAACAGGAUGCCUUAAACAGAUGGAUAAAAUAUAGAACAUAAUAAAUUUUAUGACUAAUAUAUAAUUCUGCAGAAAUUGCCCUCUUUCUAACAGGUGAGUAAAGGUUUAUAUAGAGAUUUGUUAUCUCUAUAUUUAAAUUAAGAAACUACAGCCUUGAAAAAAU
rnacentral:lncRNA from 1 species